rnacentral:SRP_RNA from 1 species
GCCGAGCUUGGCAACGCGAGCUUGUAACUCAAGUGAGGGCAUUAAGGUGAUGCGGACAAACUAAUAAAAGUAGACUUUA